rnacentral:rRNA from 1 species
AACGUAGGGGACAAGCGUUAUCCGGAUUUACUGGGCGUAAAGCGCCCGUAGGCGGCCUGACAAGUUGGACGUGAAAGCUCCUGGCUUAACUGGGAGAGGCCGUUCAAAACUGUCAAGCUAGAGUCUGGAAGAGGAGAGCGGAAUUCCCGGUGUAGUGGUGGAAUGCGUAGAGAUCGGGAGGAACACCAGUGGCGAAAGCGGCUCUCUGGUCCAACACUGACACUGAUGAGCGAAAGCCAGGGGAGCAAACGGG